GAUGAAGAACGUAGCGAAAUGCGAUACGUAAUGUGAAUUGCAGAAUUCAGUGAAUCAUCGAAUCUUUGAACGCACAUUGCGCCUGCCAGCACUCUGGCAGGCAUGCCUGUUCGAGCGUCAUUUCAACCAUCAAGCCCUAGGCUUGCGUUGGAGCCCUGCGGCUGCCGCAGGCCCCUAAAAGCAGUGGCGGGCUCGCUAUCACACCGAGUGCAGUAGAUUACUCUUCGCUCAGGGCGUGUGGCGGGUUCCAGCCGUGAAACCCCCUACUUCCCAAGGUUGACCUCGGAUCAGGUAGGAAUACCCGCUGAGCUUAAGCAUAUCAAUAAGCGGAGGA
rnacentral:misc_RNA from 1 species